UUUUCCUACACCAGUUCAUCUGCGUUGGUUUUCGUUUGCUUUUAUCAGGCUACAGCACUCCUCCUAUCUGGUUCUGUCUUACAUGAUUCAACUCCUCUGUAUCCAGUGUGCUCUCUUUCUUCUCACUGGAACCAAAUGGCAGGCCUUCACUUUACUGGCUUUGUAGCCUACGCUCCUCCUCCUCCUCCUCCUGUUCAAAUACCAUAACCAAUCUCCGCACCUCACUCUUCCACCAUCUCCCAACUCAAUCAAUCACCUCUCUAUUUAAAAAAAAAAACCUGUUCCGUUUUUCCUGCUCCAACUCUCCACUUCCGACCUCUCUCCUUCAAUCCCCGCCUUCUCUCCAUUCUCCUCCGUCAGUUUAUUCCUUUUUUGAUUUUAAGAGUAAUUGUGUUAUUCUAGAGGAGUAGUGGAAUGGGCGGAAAAAGGAAGCACUGCGUUUGUUUUAGAAAUGCAAUGUUGGAGGCAGGGCCUGGUGCAGCAAUAGGGGGAAUGUGUGCUACUCGUUGCUCUGGUUCUAUAGCUGUGAGCAUGCAGGUACGGAACCAUGUGAGAUAAUGUCAUUAGUCUCAAGGUGGUUCUUCCCAAUGGAGAUGUGGUCAAGACAGCUUCUCGUGCUCGAAAGAGUGCUGCAGGGUGUGUUAUCUUGUCCUUUUCUAUAUUAAGUCGUGUUCUCUGUUGCUCUGUUUUUUUCCUUGGACGGGGGAGAGGGGAGGGGAUAUAUAAUUAAUUGCAAUAUGGCCAUCACCUGAAAAGGUAAACCUUUGGGAUUAUGAUCCCAAUCAAAUUAAGGAGAGUGUUGUGGCAAAUCACAGGCCAGAUAAUUGUUGGUGGAGCCAGCCUGCAAAUUUUGUUUGUUAAAUCAUGCUUUGCUAUUCCGGACUCAUGUUUCUCCAGCUUUCAAGAUGGUUGGCCAUCAUGCAUGCGUGGAGGGUGCCCUCCAUUAUCCUUAUUUCAAUUGCUUUAGAGGGUUUCUUAUUUUAUUGCAUAUUCAGAGAAGUCAACUCUUAACCUUAUUGGAUCUAUUACUUUACACAUGAUUUGACUUGACUGGUGAUUGGAAGUGAAGGGAUCCUUGGUGUAACAACAGAGGUCACUCUAUGGCCUCAGAAAAUUCCACUGCAUUUAGUGGUACCUUCAUCCUUUCUUUGUUUGGAAGAACCCCCCCUUUUUUUUUAAUUUUUUUUCCCUUUCCUUUCCUUUUUUUCAUUUGUUUGUUUGUUUUUUAGAGAUGGACAAUUGUAUAUCAAGAACACAAACAUAGAAUUAUGAUGGCAGCGGACAAGCGAGAGUGAAAGUUCUGGUAGUUCUUGUUAUUUUUGGUUGCUUGAAGUUUGUCAUGCUGAAGUUACAAUGUACAAUUUCCUUACAAUUAAGGAUGCAGCUGAUGUUGCUAUUGACACUAUGCUGUCUGGUAUACAGGUAGAACUUGAUGCAAAUUAUGUCCAUGCAUUCAAUGCUUUAUGGAUUAUCCAUUCUUUAUCAUCAGGUGUCAGGAGCUAUUGGAUGAGGUCCAAGUGAGGGCUGUCAAUAUUGCUAAUGAGAAUAAUUUAACUGAACUCCCAACUUUGAUUUUUGAAUUCAUAUGCACUGGCAAGUAUGUCUUUUCAUGUGACUUGCUUCUUGUUUAUGUUUAUUCUUGGAUAAAAUCCAGUAUUUUAAUGGAAGGGAUUGAACCAUUGAACCCAUUCUCUGGAAUAUGGUAAUUGCUAAUAGUUAUUUGAAAUUUCCUUGGUAUCCUUAGGAAUUAUGCAUAACCGAUAUGUGAAUGAUUCAGUUCUGCUAGGAAUGCAAAAAUGAACUCUAUGUUACUUGAUCCAUUUUGAGUUUAAUACUGCUUUCUCUUUCAAUUUCAAUGGAUCAAUGGUGUUCCUCUAGAAAACUACAAACACACAACAGACAGCUGCUGAUAGAUUGAGAUUUGACUGGAUAAAACACAGUUAGCAAAGGAUUAUCUAUUACAAUCAAUUGUUUGUGCAGUUCUGUUUUUUUUUUUUUUUUAAUCUGAUGGAUUAUGGCUUAUAUUUCAACAACCAUUGUCUAACUAAUGACUGGCAUAGGCAGCAUCAUGAUAUCAUGAGGUCAUGAUUUACAAAGCUAAAACUGAAGUAAAAAAAAAAAAAAACGGACAGGCAGAAAAUAUCGAUUCCAACAUGGUUCAUCUAUCUGUUGCUGUCUGGUGAAUUUAAACAUCUGGCUACGUUUGGUGUUUGAGCUUCAAAUAUUUGGCAGUGCGUUUUACUCCUGAUCUUUUAUGAACUAUGAUUUUGCAUCUUCUGAGCUGCUUUCAUUACUCUGCGGCACGGUUAAUUGUUGAUCGUUAAUGUGUAUUUCCACACUUCUCGUCAGCAAAUGCAAUUCAUUUUUCUGGGGACUUCAAAAUCAACAAGGUUAGAUGGUUGUUUGGAUAUUUAUCUAAAUGAUUGCAUCUCUUUUUUCAGUCAAAAAGAUUCCUUAAGCCUUAUCUUCUUACUUUACUCAUCGACACUCCACUCAUCUCCUGCUUAUUGUUGAGGCAUAUGCAAGUGAACAAACAUGAAUUGUUCAGAAGAUCGUUUCUGAGCACAUGGGUUCAUAUUUUGUUUUUGCAGAUCACCCUAAAGCUAAAAAAGAAAGUUAGAGGGUAGAGUCACUUGGACUUGUUGUGUUCCUGUUGUUUCCCAUACUAUUUGUGGGUAGUUCUUGGAUUCAUUUUGUUUUGCAUGUUUUGCAGCCUUUUCCUUUAAAAGGGCUGCUAUCCCCUUGAUUCCUCAUGCUAGCAAGAAAAAAUAUUUUGUUUUGAAACCAUUUAUUUCAUCAAAUGAUUCCCUCAUGCAUAGUAAUUUAAGUUCUUGGUGUGCUGCAGAUACGGAAGGAGGCUCUAUGGGUUUGCUUAGCAAUGAAACCCAAUAAGAGGCAAUGAUUUCGGACGUAUGAGUUCUCUAUCACAGCUUGCUGAAUUGAUCUCAAGGUCCAGGCAAGAGGUGGAUGUGUCGCCAUUGGUUUAGUAUGUAUUUCUGAAGGACAGCUUUUAGUGACAGUAUGCAAGAGGCAUGUUACCUUUUCUGUUUUUCUACAUGGGCGAUCAAUUGAAUUAACCUAGUGAUGGAAAUUUCUUUCUUGUGGUCCCAAAUAACAGCAUUGUUGAAGGUAGCUUUCACAAAAUGAUUCUUUUUGACCUGAACCAAGAAGAUCAGCGGCAAGAGGCAGAAAGAUUGAACCAUUUUAUGAUACAUACUGCUUUGUCAAUGGAAGGAACAUGUACCAGAGAACAUGGAGGGGAAAAUUUCUAACCAUGCCCUUGUGCUGCAGUUUUCUUGUUUUUUAUUUGUUUGGUGAAGCUUGCCCUUGUUUGCUUUGUUAAAACGUUCUGCUUCUAGAUGCAAACAUCGCCAAAGGCAAGCUUUUUUAGUGUCAAAUCCAUCACAUAAAACAUCACAGUUUGGUUCACAAAAUAUAUGAUCAGAUAGACUCGUAGACAUGGUCAUCGCAGAAAUGAAUCGGGACUAGUACAAAAUCACUAGGAAGCAUCUCAUGUGCACGCAUUAUCUGACAUCACCCACAGUUUCAAAUAUCGUACGCUAAGAUAUGGAUUCGAAGAUGAAUGAUUGUGGAAAAUGAUGCAAGUGAAGAUAAGGACAUUGAGGCUUGUGCUAAAGGAUAAAAUGAAAGUCGCCUCCCAGCACCUUCAAAGUUCCAAUUGAUUGAUAAAUCUCCAUAGAAUAUGGAGACAUGGCAACAAUGGCCGUAAAAGGACAAUAUAAGAAUGAUUCCUGGAUUUGGAUCCUUCCUCUUCUCACCACCAGUUGGCAGCAAUUGGGUUGAGAUAGGAUUAGAACCUACGGCUACUCAAACCCUAUCCGUAAUUUGCUCUGUUCUGCAUGAUUUAUGCAGGCUGAAAGC